UCUGGUGACAGUUGAUCAGAUGAAGCAGGAUUUAGGGUCACACAGACCUUCCAGGAGGAAUUGAAGUCUACUCUGCCUACCAGGCUCCUGUCACCUUGGGGCAUAAAGGAAUCCUCCACGCCUUCCGCACCAGUUUGGGACUGCUGAGUCAACCAUCUUUGUGGACAGAGCAGCUCGCUAUGGGUUCUCAGCAGGCAGACAGCCGUGCGGGACUACCCAGCUCCUAUUGUGCAAGUCACAUAAUAAAUCCCCUGUGGCGAAAGCCUGAGAUGACCAAGGCUGGAGAGCUAAGUAGAUAAAGAUGCUUGUAGUCAAGGCUGGCGGCCUGAGUUCAACCCCCAGGACCCAUGUGAUAGAAGGAGAGACCCGACUCCCGCAGGUUACCCUUCCGCCCUCCACACACGCAUCAUAUCAUGCGCCACCCCCCACCAUA